UACGAAGGGGGCUAGCGUUGCUCGGAAUCACUGGGCGUAAAGGGUGCGUAGGCGGGUCUUUAAGUCAGGGGUGAAAUCCUGGAGCUCAACUCCAGAACUGCCUUUGAUACUGAAGAUCUUGAGUUCGGGAGAGGUGAGUGGAACUGCGAGUGUAGAGGUGAAAUUCGUAGAUAUUCGCAAGAACACCAGUGGCGAAGGCGCCGCUCUGGGCCGAGACUGACGCUGAGGAGCGAAAGCGUGGGUAGCAAACAGG
rnacentral:rRNA from 1 species